rnacentral:rRNA from 1 species
ACGCCGCGUGAGCGAAGAAGGCCUUCGGGUUGUAAAGCUCUGUUGCUCGGGGAGAGCGACAAGGAGAGUGGAAAGCUCCUUGUGAGACGGUACCGAGUGAGGAAGCCCCGGCUAACUACGUGCCAGCAGCCGCGGUAAUACGUAGGGGGCAAGCGUUGUCCGGAAUCACUGGGCGUAAAGCGUGCGUAGGCGGUUGUGUAAGUCUGAAGUGAAAGUCCAAGGCUCAACCUUGGGAUUGCUUUGGAAACUGCAUGACUUGAGUGCUGGAGAGGCAAGGGGAAUUCCACGUGUAGCGGUGAAAUGCGUAGAUAUGUGGAGGAAUACCAGUGGCGAAGGCGCCUUGCUGGACAGUGACUGACGCUGAGGCACGAAAGCGUGGGGAGCAAACAGGAUUAGAUACCCUGGUAGUCCACGCCGUAAACGAUGAGUGCUAGGUGUUGGGGGGACACACCCCAGUGCCGAAGGAAACCCAAUAAGCACUCCGCCUGGGGAGU